UCAGACUGGAUCAAGUGCAAAGAAAGAUGGAAUUAUGUGCUCCAAUCCACUGUCGCUGGAACUCAUACCUUUAUCUCGCUGAGGUGAAACUACUCACAGUGGAAAUUUUAUGAGCGUUAAAUAGGAAAAGAAAUAGGCUGGUAAUAUUCAAUGUGAGUCAAACUCUGAAAGAAUGAAAGAAUGAAUUGUGAAUUGCUCCUGUGUCAUAUUAACAAAU